AUCACCUGGGAAUCUUGUUAAAAUGCGGAUCCUAAUUCAGGAGGUCUGGGGUAGUGCUUGCGAUUCUGCAUUUCUAAUAAGAUCCCAGGUGAUGCUGA
rnacentral:pre_miRNA from 1 species